CCCCUCAUGGUGUAGUUGGCUAUCACGUUGGACUGUAAUUGUUUAUCUCUUUCAUCUGAAGGUCACCGGCUCGAUUCCGGUUGAGGGGA